GAUGAACGCUGGCGGCGUGCUUAACACAUGCGAGUCGAACGGGAAAUCUUUCAUUGAGACUUCGGUGGAUUUGAUUUAUUUCUAGUGGCGGACGGGUGAGUAACGCGUGGGUAACCUGCCUUAUACAGGGGGAUAACAGUCAGAAAUGGCUGCUAAUACCGCAUAAGCGCACAGAGCUGCAUGGCUCAGUGUGAAAAACUCCGGUGGUAUAAGAUGGACCCGCGUUGGAUUAGCUAGUUGGUGGGGUAACGGCCCACCAAGGCGACGAUCCAUAGCCGGCCUGAGAGGGUGAACGGCCACAUUGGGACUGAGACACGGCCCAGACUCCUACGGGAGGCAGCAGUGGGGAAUAUUGCACAAUGGGGGAAACCCUGAUGCAGCGACGCCGCGUGAAGGAAGAAGUAUCUCGGUAUGUAAACUUCUAUCAGCAGGGAAGAUAGUGACGGUACCUGACGAAGAAGCCCCGGCUAACUACGUG
rnacentral:rRNA from 1 species